rnacentral:rRNA from 1 species
UGGGGAAUUUUGGACAAUGGGCGCAAGCCUGAUCCAGCAAUGCCGCGUGCAGGAUGAAGGCCUUCGGGUUGUAAACUGCUUUUGUACGGAGCGAAAAGGUCUGCCCUAAUACGGUGGGCUCAUGGCGGUACCGUAAGAAUAAGCACCGGCUAACUACGUGCCAGCAGCCGCGGUAAUACGUAGGGUGCGAGCGUUAAUCGGAAUUACUGGGCGUAAAGCGUGCGCAGGCGGUUAUAUAAGACAGGUGUGAAAUCCCCGGGCUCAACCUGGGACCUGCAUUUGUGACUGUAUAGCUAGAGUACGGUAGAGGGGGAUGGAAUUCCGCGUGUAGCAGUGAAAUGCGUAGAUAUGCGGAGGAACACCGAUGGCGAAGGCAAUCCCCUGGACCUGUACUGACGCUCAUGCACGAAAGCGUGGGGAGCAAACA